GAUGAACGCUAGCGGCAGGCCUAAUACAUGCAAGUCGAACGGUAACAUGAGUAGCAAUACUUGAUGACGAGUGGCGCACGGGUGCGUAACGCAUAUGCAAUCUACCUUUAACCGGUGAAUAGCCCGAAGAAAUUCGGAUUAAUACACCAUAGUAUGUUUGAGUGGCAUCACUUAAACAUUAAAGUUCCGACAGUUAAAGAUGAGCAUGCGUGACAUUAGCUAGUUGGUAAGGUAACGGCUUACCAAGGCAACGAAGUCUAGGGGAUCUGAGAGGAUUAACCCCCACACUGGUACUGAGACAGGGACCAGACUCCUACGGGAGGCAGCAGUAAGGAAUAUUGGACAAUGGUGGCAACACUGAUCCAGCCAUGCCGCGUGAAGGAUGAAGGCCCUAUGGGUUGUAAACUUCUUUUGUACGGGAAAAAACCUUCUUACGUGUAAGAAGCUGAUUGUGCUGUAAGAAUAAGGAUCGGCUAACUCCGUGCCAGCAGCCGCGGUAACAC
rnacentral:rRNA from 1 species